CCUACGGGAGGCUGCAGUGAGGCAUAUUGGUCAAUGGGCGAGAGCCUGAACCAGCCAAGUCGCGUGAGGGAAGACGGUCCUAUGGAUUGUAAACCUCUUUUGCCGGGGAGCAAAAAGCGGUACGUGUACCGCAUCGAACGUACCCGAAGAAAAAGCAUCGGCUAACUUCGUGCCAGCCGCCGCGGUAUUACGGAGGAUGCGAGCUUUAUCCGGAUUUAUUGGGGUAAAGGGGUGGGCAGCGGGCGAGUUAAGUUAGCGGUAAAAUUUCGGGGCUAAACCCCGCACAGCCGUUGAAACUGGCUUGCUAGAGUGGGCGAGAAGGAUGCGGAAUGCGAGGUGUAGCGGUGAAAUGCAUAGAGAUCAGGAAGAACUCCGAUUGCGAAGGCAGCAUACCGGCGCCCAACUGACGCUCAGGCACGAAAGCGUGGGUAGCGAACAGGAUUAGAUACCCGAGUAGUC
rnacentral:rRNA from 1 species